rnacentral:rRNA from 1 species
AUUGAACGCUGGCGGCAGGCCUAACACAUGCAAGUCGAGCGAGCGGCGGACGGGUGAGUAAUGUAUGGGGACUGCCCGAUAGAGGGGGAUAACUACUGGAAACGGUAGCUAAUACCGCAUACUGUCGGAUUACCCAGAUGGGAGUUGCUAGUAGGUAAGGUAAUGGCUUACCUAGGCGACGAUCCCUAGCUGCUCGGAGAGGCUGAUCGGCCACACGGGAACUGAGACACGGCCCAGACUCUUACGGAGGCAGAAGUGGGGAAUAUUGCACAAUGGGCGCAAGCCUGAUGCAGCCAUGCCGCGUGUAUGAAGAAGGCCCUAGGGUUGUAAAGUACUUUCAGUCGGGAGGCGUUACCGACAGAAGAAGCACCGGCUAACUCCGUGCCAGCAGCCGCGGUAAUAC